GUGGGGAAUAUUGGACAAUGGGGGGAACCCUGAUCCAGCCAUGCCGCGUGUGUGAAGAAGGCCUUUUGGUUGUAAAGCACUUUAAGCGAGGAGGAGGCUACCGAGAUUAAUACUCUUGGAUAGUGGACGUUACUCGCAGAAUAAGCACCGGCUAACUCUGUGCCAGCAGCCGCGGUAAUACAGAGGGUGCAGGCGUUAAUCGGAUUUACUGGGCGUAAAGCGCGCGUAGGUGGCCAAUUAAGUCAAAUGUGAAAUCCCCGAGCUUAACUUGGGAAUUGCAUUCGUUACUGGUUGGCUAGAGUAUGGGAGAGGAUGGUAGAAUUCCAGGUGUAGCGGUGAAAUGCGUAGAGAUCUGGAGGAAUACCGAUGGCGAAGGCAGCCAUCUGGCCUAAUACUGACACUGAGGUGCGAAAGCAUGGGGAGCAAACAGGAUUAGAUACCCGGGUAGUCC
rnacentral:rRNA from 1 species